GACGAACGCUGGCGGCGUGCUUAACACAUGCAAGUCGAACGGAGCUAUUUAUUUCGGUAGAUAGCUUAGUGGCAAACGGGUGAGUAACGCGUAGGCAACCUGCCCUCAGGAUGGGGACAACGGCUCGAAAGAGCCGCUAAUACCGAAUGACGUAACUCUUCCACAUGGAAGAGAUACUAAAGAUGGGUCAAACCAUCGCCUAAGGAUGGGCCUGCGUCUGAUUAGCCAGUUGGUGAGGUAACGGCUCACCAAAGCGACGAUCAGUAGCCGGUCUGAGAGGAUGAACGGCCACAAUGGGACUGAGACACGGCCCAUACUCCUACGGGAGGCAGCAGUGGGGAAUCUUCCGCAAUGGGCGGAAGCCUGACGGAGCAACGCCGCGUGAGUGAAGAAGGUCUUCGGAUCGUAAAGCUCUGUUGUCGGGGACGAAAGAGUAGACGAGGAAAUGCGUCUACUAAGACGGUA
rnacentral:rRNA from 1 species